AGAGAGAGACAUGCGCGCAUAUCAAUAAGCGGAGGAAAAGAAACUAACAAGGAUUCCCUUAGUAACGGCGAGUGAAGCGGGAAGAGCUCAAAUUUGAAAUCUUAAAGGUUUCCCUUGACGAAUUGUAGUUUAUAGAAGUGUUUUCUGUUAGUGGAGUUCGGUAAAAGUUCUUUGGAAUAGGACAUCCUAGAGGGUGAGAAUCCCGUAUUUGGUCAUUCCUCCUAGCGUUGUGAUACACUUUCAACGAGUCGGAUUGUUUGGGAAUGCAGUCCAAAAUGGGUGGUAAAUUUCAUCUAAAGCUAAAUAUUGGCGAGAGACCGAUAGCGAACAAGUACCGUGAGGGAAAGAUGAAAAGAACUUUGAAAAGAGAGUUAAACAGUACGUGAAAUUGUCAAAAGGGAAGCGUUUGACACCAGUGUUGUUUUCUCGAAAAUCAAUUAAAAAUGGCGGGAUUUUGUGUUGUAUUGACUUUAUCAGCUUUCUGCACUUUUUUCCUAUCUUUUUUAAUGCACUUUUCGUUUAACAAGUCAACAUCAAUUUCUUUUGUUGUAAAAGAGUCAUUGGAAGGUGGCUUUCUUUUCGGAGAAAGUGUUUAUAGCCUUUGACUUCUGCAAUCGGAGAGAUUGAGGUCUGCAGCGUAGAUCCUUCGGGGUUAGAUACAUUUGUGCUAAGUUAUAGCCUUUCAUAGACAACUUGUUGACUAUGUUUAGUCUUGUAGCUUACUCGCUUAUGCUAUUUUACCUACGCUUAGGAUGUUGAUCUGUAGUGCGUGCGC
rnacentral:rRNA from 1 species